rnacentral:rRNA from 1 species
CAAUAGCGUAUAUUAAAGUUGUUGCAGUUAAAAAGCUCGUAGUUGGAUUUCUGGUAGGAGUGACCGUUCCGAACUCGAUUGUUCGUGUAUUGUGUUUUCUCCAGCCAUCCUUGUGGAGAACUUUUCUUGCAUUAAUUUGUAGGGAUUGGGACCCGCAUCGUUUACUGUGAAAAAAUUAGAGUGUUUAAAGCAGGCAAUCGCUUGAAUACAUUAGCAUGGAAUAAUAAGAUAGGACUUUGGUACUAUUUUGUUGGUUUGCAUACCAAAUUAAUGAUCAACAGGAACAGUCUGAGGAUAUUCGUAUGAACAUGUCAGAGGUGAAAUUCUUGGAUUUUGAUCAGACGAACUACUGCGAAAGCAUUUAUCAAGGAUGUUUUCAUUAA